AUUUAUAUAGUUUAAAAAAAACAUUAUAUUUUCAAUAUAAAAUUAAUAAAAUUUAUUUUUAAAUA
rnacentral:tRNA from 1 species